GCUGGUGUUGCUAAGUGGUUAGAGCGUUGGUCCGAGAACCAAAGUGUUGCUGGUUCGAUUCCAGGUCAAGGGCA
rnacentral:tRNA from 1 species